CAUAGUUCAGUUGGUUAGAACGUCGGAUUGUGGUUCCGAAGGUCAAGGGUUCGAAUCCCCUUG
rnacentral:tRNA from 1 species